GGGGGUCGGAGGUGAGCCAGGGACGAGGUACUUUAAUCAGGGCAGAAUAAUCCAGAGACAUUUCCUUCUUCCAGUGGAGAGAAACUGUCUUUUUCAUCUGAUAUCAUGGGUGAGAGAAGGGCAUAUUAUGAAUCACCUAAUGCUUCAAAGAAAAAAAAUGUUUUAAAUUCCCAAGUUAACAAGAAAGAGCCUUCACCCACCCACCUUGGGAAACCUGAAGAUUAAGACUAUUUGGUGCAGAGUAGCAGAUGUACCUUCCCUCUGGUGUGCCGGGUGACUCUUCUGUUUCACGGUCCCAGUUGUCUGUGGGCAAACACACAAAUUAAAAAGAGGAGGAGGGGGCUGUGUGCCCUGCUUGGGCAGGCUCUGCACAGCUCUGGGUAGCUGUGGAGGAUGCAGUGUGCAUCACUCCGUGAAAAAGAUCCUGUAGCAUCAGCUCCCUCCCUGCUCCAGACAGAUGAUAACUGGCAGCCACCUCAGAGAGAGGUAUAUGAGUACCCCACUGCAGCCUGUGCCCUGCCUGGUGCUCCUGUACUGAUGCCUGCACUGCUGACACUGGGAACACCUGCUCUCAGAUGAGUUGAUUUAUCUGCAAUUUAUCAAGAGGAAAACAAGGCAUAAGAAAAUUCUGCAGAGCAGUGGUGCCCUGUGUCUCCUCCUGGCUGGAAGUGCCCUGCCUGGCUGCUCCAUCACAUGCUU